rnacentral:rRNA from 1 species
UACGAAGGUCCCAAGCGUUAUCCGGAUUUAUUGGGUUUAAAGGGUGCGUAGGCGGGUUAUUAAGUCAGUGGUGAAAGCCUACAGCUUAACUGUAGAACUGCCAUUGAUACUGAUGAUCUUGAGUAUGAUUGAGGUUGGCGGAAUGUGUCAUGUAGCGGUGAAAUGCGUAGAUAUGACACAGAACACCGAUUGCGAAGGCAGCUAACUAAGUCAUAACUGACGCUGAUGCACGAAAGCGUGGGGAGCAAACAGG